CCUACGGGUGGCUGCAGUGAGGAAUAUUGGUCAAUGGGCUUACGCCUGAACCAGCCAAGUCGCGUGAGGGAAGACUGCCCCAUGGGUCGUAAACCUCUUUUGUCAGGGAGCAACGCCGGCUACGUGUAGCCGGACUGAGAGUACCUGAAGAAAAAGCAUCGGCUAACUCCGUGCCAGAAGCCGCGGUAAUACGGAGGAUGCGAGCGUUAUCCGGUUUUAUUGGGUUAAAGGGGUGCGUAGGCGGAACGCAAAGUCAGCGGUAAAAUCGCGGGGCUCAACCCCGCUCCGCCGUUGAAACUGUCGUUCUUGAGUGCGCGAGAAGGACGCGGAAUGCGUGGUGUAGCGGUGAAAUGCAUAGAUAUCACGCAGAACUCCGAUUGCGAAGGCAGCGUACCGGCGCCCAACUGACGCUGAAGCACGAAAGCGUGGGUAUCGAACAGGAUUAGAUACCCGAGUAGUC
rnacentral:rRNA from 1 species